rnacentral:rRNA from 1 species
AUUGAACGCUGGCGGCAGGCCUAACACAUGCAAGUCGAACGGUAGCACAGAGAGCUUGCUCUCGGGUGACGAGUGGCGGACGGGUGAGUAAUGUCUGGGAAACUGCCCGAUGGAGGGGGAUAACUACUGGAAACGGUAGCUAAUACCGCAUAACGUCGCAAGACCAAAGUGGGGGACCUUCGGGCCUCAUGCCAUCAGAUGUGCCCAGAUGGGAUUAGCUAGUAGGUGGGGUAACGGCUCACCUAGGCGACGAUCCCUAGCUGGUCUGAGAGGAUGACCAGCCACACUGGAACUGAGACACGGUCCAGACUCCUACGGGAGGCAGCAGUGGGGAAUAUUGCACAAUGGGCGCAAGCCUGAUGCAGCCAUGCCGCGUGUGUGAAGAAGGCCUUCGGGUUGUAAAGCACUUUCAGCGGGGAGGAAGGCGGUGAGGUUAAUAACCUCAUCGAUUGACGUUACCCGCAGAAGAAGCACCGGCUAACUCCGUGCCAGCAGCCGCCGUAA